GACGAACGCUGGCGGCGUGCCUAAUACAUGCAAGUCGAACGAACCGCGACUAGGUGCUUGCACUUGGUCAAGGUGAGUGGCGAACGGGUGAGUAACACGUGGGUAACCUACCUCAUAGUGGGGGAUAACAGUCGGAAACGACUGCUAAUACCGCAUAGGACAUAGGAUCACAUGAUCCAGUGAGGAAAGGUGGCGCAAGCUAUCGCUAAGAGAUGGACCCGCGGUGCAUUAGCUAGUUGGUAGGGUAAAGGCCUACCAAGGCGAUGAUGCAUAGCCGACCUGAGAGGGUGAUCGGCCACAUUGGGACUGAGACACGGCCCAAACUCCUACGGGAGGCAGCAGUAGGGAAUCUUCCGCAAUGGACGAAAGUCUGACGGAGCAACGCCGCGUGAGUGAAGAAGGUCUUCGGAUCGUAAAGCUCUGUUGUUAGAGAAGAACAGCGCAUAGAGUAACUGUUAUGCGUGUGACGGUAUCUAAACAGAAAGCCACGGCUAACUACGUG
rnacentral:rRNA from 1 species